AGCGACAUUUUUUGACGCAACUUCAACGCAACCCCCAAAAUAAUUGUCCCCAUAUAUUUCACCCUCGAAAUAAUGACCCUAAGGCCAGAAAAAAAGCAUAAAAAUGAGUUUUCGUUCAGUGAGAAAACUCAUUUUCGUUGAUUUUUAGCUCUUCCCCUCUCUCUCUGAGAAAACUCAAAGAGCUGAGGCGCGGUGGUUGAUGAUCAGCUCCGACGACAAUCCAGCGAUCUCAUCUCCAACGACUAGCUGAGGCGCGGUUGUCGGCGAUCUCAGCUCCGCCACUUCUUCAUCGGAUUGCAGAUCCUUCAUUUGUGAAAUACACUGUGGAGCCAGUGAGUUUGGGGAAACUCACUUUGCUCAAGUGCUCUUCAAGAUCUAUACAGGUCCCUAAACAACCCAUCAGUACUGAAGGGAUGGAGAGUGGAUGGUGGGGAUCCCUGUGAGUAGUCAAGGACAUGAGUGUCAUGUUCUGAUUCAUCUGUUAUACACCUUAAAAUUCAAGGGCUAAACCUCACUGGGUGGAUUGGAGGCCAGCUUAAUAACCUGCAUCAUUUGAAGCACCUAUAACUGAAACUGCCUUGUUAUAUUUAGCUCUUAUUGAAAUAGUACCUGUACUGUUUAUUUAAUUCUUUAUUCUGGUUUCUUCUUUAGGGAUGUCAGCUACAAUAACAUUCAGGGUGAAAUUCCAUAUAGCUUACCCCCUAAUGCCACAAAUAUAAAUAUGGCAUACAACUAUUUCAGCCAAAAUAUUCCCUACUCUUUACCAACCUUGAAAUAUCUCUGACAUCUAUGAGUUACUUCUCCCCCCAAGUGCCUAUUUACUGAAUUGCUUUUGUUUUUUGGUUAUUCAGUCAGAAUCCCUGGACACUUUUCUUGUAGAAAUCUCAGCCACAAUUUGUUGUCUGGACCAAUUGGCAAUGUCUUUACUGGCUUACAGAAUCUCAGAGAGAUGUAUGUGUUCUUCACCUGAUCCUUAUAUUUCCUUUUCCCUGGCAUUUGAAGUGAAAAGAAAUUAAUGCAAAGUACAACAUUCCAUGAAAUAUAAACAAAUUUUAGUAUAACUGAACUUGUGGUUUCUGUUACUAGUUUUUCUUAUGAACAGUUCUGAAACUCCUUUCAUGGUACGGCCUCUUACUAUCUUUUUGAUGAUUUUGGAUCAAAAUUAAUAUAAAUUGAGUAAAGUAGAACUAAGAUAGUUGGUAUUUCUUCCUGAAAUCUUUUGUCUUAAGCGUUUUAUUUGUUUAUAUAGUUACAGGAAGGGCAACUGUUUUUUCUUUCCAGGUUAAACCAUCAAAUUGGUCUUCUUUUUUUAUAGUACUUCAUUUGAUGAGUUCAUUGCGCAAUUUAAGUUUAAGCAGUGGGCUACCCUCUUGUUGUAGGGGAUGGGUUCCAUUACAACAGCUACUAGACCUCAUGUAGUUUAAGUCCCAACUCCACUUCAAGGCCACAUAAAUCCAAUGAUCAAGCUAGCCAAACUCCUCCACCAAGCUUGCUGAUCAAGUUAAGGAUGAUAGCUUGAAAUCAAUAGGUUCCAAUCUAUGGAAAGAAGAAUCAGGGUGUGUGGGAUGGUUAAAUUCAAAAGAAUUUAACUUGGUAGUGCAUGUAAAUUAUGAUAGUUUAACUAUCAUGACACCUCACCAACUCAUUGAGUUUGCAUGGGGAUUAGCAAACUGUGAAAAACCCUUCUUGUGGAUUAUAAGGCCUGAUCUUGUGGGAGGAAAUUCAGCUAUAAUUCCUCCUGAAUUUGUUAACAAAAUUAAAUAUAGAGGCAUGUUAGCAAGUUGGUGUCAUCAAGAACAAAUCUUAAAGCACCCGUCAAUAGGGUGUUUUCUAACACACUGGGUGGAAUUCAACGCUUGAGAGUGUAUGUUGUGGAGUUCUAAUGAUCUCUUGGUCCUUCCUUGCUGAUCAACAGACGAAUUGUUGAUACUAUUGUGUCGAGUGGGGUAUUAGGAUGGAGAUAGAUAAUAAUGUUCAAAGAGACAAAGUGAAGAAACUUGUUAGAGAGUUAAUGGACAGUGAGAAAGGUAAAGAAAUGAAGAAAAAAGGUAACGGAGUGGAAGACAAAGAUAGAGGAUGCUACCAAACCUAGCGGUUCUUCUUACCAAAACUUGGACAAAUUGAUUUCCAAAGUUCUCUUAACUAGAAAUGUUUAAACCAAACAUAGAUGGCUUUCUAGUUUUCAAUAAGCUAGUACUCUG